AUGUUUUGGUCCUCUGGAAAGUCUUCUUCCCACCUGUCAGCCAACCACCAGAAAUAUCCGUGCAACGAAGUCCACAUUCCCUGGAGCCAGUCCACCAUGCUAGCUUCUUCCCUCAGUUCUAAAGUAGGGCUUUUUAAGUGCCAUUCUCUUAGGAUUUAUAUUCUAUUACUCUUAUGCUUAGAAAAUGGUCAGAAUAGGUUGGAAAACCAGAGUUCAGGAAGCUCAACUCUUUUUCUGUUUCCAGAGGCAUAAUGGGUAAAGGUUAAUGUCAUAUGAGGUCUUGCCUAAUCAUAGGAUUGUGUUUCCUUUAUUGUAAUUAAAUCUCCUAACCUGUAGUAGUACCUCAUGUAAAAUUACCCUUUGAGAUACAUUUGAGAGAGGACAUGUAAUCACUGUCCAUCCUUAGAUAAUUGGUCUUAAACUGCAGCCCAUGUAUUAAGGGGAUCCUUUCUUUGGUUAUUGUUUUUUGAUUUAUGUGUUAUUUUAACCAUGCAAGAAUAUCAUGAAACAAAAUUCAGCAUUCUGUGCCUUUUCUUCUGCAGGAUGGAAAUGAACCCAGCAUGGUUUCAACUUUUCAUCUUUGAUUCCCAAACGUAACAUUAGUAACAUUAAUAUAGGGCCAUUUCUUUUAAAACAAGAUGAUAAUGUAAACCACAGUGAUCCUGUGCCCCUUCCUCAUCUUUAAUUGGCUGCAUUAUAUACAUUAUCUGCUAAUGUAUAGUGAUUUUCUAAACUCCUUAGAGCUUCUCCAUGUUACAACACAUCCACCAAAAUUAAUGUUAGCCUUUUCCUGCCAAUUCGCCCCCUAUGUUCUAGCCAAGCAUAUUUAUAAUUAGAAAGCUAUUGCUUCACACUCAGGUUUUAUUUCAACUUCUCUUUAUUGGUGAUUUGACCCAGUUUUCACCUUAAUGACUACUCUGUUUGGCUUCUCUCCCUUGUACCCAUGGGGUGCACCUUCAACCCUCAUGCUUUCAUUCUCCACAUUCCCCUCCAGGAAACUGUUCCACCUUUGACAGUCAAAUCUUUUUCUUUCAAAUUUGAACCAUAACAAAUUUAAUCCAUAAAAAAACUUAUGAGCAAUGUCACAAUGUCCCUUAAUGAAUAUUUCUUUUACUGUCUUAAUUAUGUUAAUCACUUUUAUCCAGUGAUCUGUACCUUAGACUUUUUUAU
rnacentral:lncRNA from 1 species